rnacentral:rRNA from 1 species
UGGGGGAUAUUGCACAAUGGGCGAAAGCCUGAUGCAGCGACGCCGCGUGGGGGAUGAAGGCUUUCGGGUUGUAAACCUCUUUCGCUAUCGAACAAGGCCCGCUUAGGGUGGGUUGAGGGUAGGUGGAGAAGAAGCGCCGGCUAACUACGUGCCAGCAGCCGCGGUAAUACGUAGGGCGCGAGCGUUGUUCGGAAUCAUUGGGCGUAAAGGGCUUGUAGGCGGCUUGUUGCGCCUGCUGUGAAAACGCGGGGCUUAACUUCGCGCGUGCAGUGGGUACGGGCAGGCUUGAGUGUGGUAGGGGUGACUGGAAUUCCAGGUGUAGCGGUGGAAUGCGCAGAUAUCUGGAGGAACACCGAUGGCGAAGGCAGGUCACUGGGCCAUUACUGACGCUGAGGAGCGAAAGCAUGGGUAGCGAACAGG